ACUUGUCUAGCUCAGUUGGUAGAGCACAAGACUUUUAAUCUUGUGGUUGUGGGUUCAAGCCCCACAAUAGGCA
rnacentral:tRNA from 1 species